GAGGCCUACCAUGGUGGUAACGGGUAACGGGGUGUUAGGGCACGACACCGGAGAGGGAGCCUGAGAAACGGCUACCACAUCCAAGGAUGGCAGCAGGCGCGCAAAUUACCCAAUCCCGACACGGGGAGGUAGUGACAAUAAAUAACAAUACGGGGUUCUUUAGGAUCUCGUAAUUGGAAUGAGUACAAUUUAAAUCUCUUAACGAGGAACAAUUGGAGGGCAAGUCUGGUGCCAGCAGCCGCGGUAAUUCCAGCUCCAAUAGCGUAUAUUAAAGUUGUUGCAGUUAAAAAGCUCGUAGUUGAAUUUCGGGGUUAGUAGGUUGGUCAUGCCUCUGGUAUGUACUGGUCUCACUGAUUCCUCCUUCCUUAUGAACCGUAAUGCCAUUAAUUUGGUGUUGCGGGGAAUUUGGACUGUUACUUUGAAAAAAUUAGAGUGUUUAAAGCAAGCUAACGCUUGAAUACAUUAGCAUGGAAUAAUGAAAUAGGACGUUCGAUCUUAUUUUGUUGGUUUCUAGGAUUGACGUAAUGAUUAAUAGGGAUAGUUGGGGGCAUUAGUAUCCAAUUGUCAGAGGUGAAAUUCUUGGAUUUAUUGAAGACUAACUACUGCGAAAGCAUUUGCCAAGGAUGUUUUCAUUAAUCAAGAACGAAAGUUAGGGGAUCGAAGACGAUCAGAUACCGUCGUAGUCUUAACCAUA
rnacentral:rRNA from 1 species